rnacentral:rRNA from 1 species
AUUGAACGCUGGCGGCAGGCCUAACAUAUGCAAGUCGAGCGGCAGCGGGAAGGUAGCUUGCUACUUUUGCCGGCGAGCGGCGGACGGGUGAGUAAUGCCUGGGGAUCUGCCCAGUCGAGGGGGAUAACUACUGGAAACGGUAGCUAAUACCGCAUACGCCCUACGGGGGAAAGCAGGGGACCUUCGGGCCUUGCGCGAUUGGAUGAGCCCAGGUGGGAUUAGCUAGUUGGUGAGGUAAUGGCUCACCAAGGCGACGAUCCCUAGCUGGUCUGAGAGGAUGAUCAGCCACACUGGAACUGAGACACGGUCCAGACUCCUACGGGAGGCAGCAGUGGGGAAUAUUGCACAAUGGGGGAAACCCUGAUGCAGCCAUGCCGCGUGUGUGAAGAAGGCCUUCGGGUUGUAAAGCACUUUCAGCGAGGAGGAAAGGUUGGUAGCUAAUAACUGCCAGCUGUGACGUUACUCGCAGAAGAAGCACCGGCUAACUCCGUGCCAGCCGCCGCGGUAACAC